GGUUAGGGGGUGUGAGAGCAUGACCCCCAGCAUUGGCACUGAAACACUGGCCAAACACCUACGGGUGGCUGCAGUCGAGAAUCUUCCACAAUGGGGGAAACCCUGAUGGAGCGAUGCUGCGUGCGGGAUGAAUGCCUUCGGGUUGUAAACCGCUUUUGUAGGGGACGAAAUUUUUGACGGUACCCUUUCGAAUAAGAGGUUGCUAACUCUGUGCCAGCAGCAGCGGUAAUACAGAGACCUCAAGCGUUAUCCGGAUUUACUGGGCGUAAAGCGUCUGUAGGGGGUUUAUUAAGUUCCAAGUAAAAUUUCAAGGCUCAACUUUGAAUUCGCUUGGAAAACUAAUAAACUGGAGUCUAGCAGAGGUGCAUAGAACUUGUGGUGUAGGAGUGAAAUCCGUUGAUAUCACAAGGAACACCAAAGGCGAAGGCAUUGCACUGGGCUAGCACUGACCCUGAGAGACGAAAGCGUGGGGAGCAAAACGGAUUAGAUACCCGUGUAGUCCACGCCCUAAACGAUGAAUGCUAAAUGUUCGGGGAUUCGACCCCCUGGGUGUUACAGCUAACGCGUUAAGCAUUCCGCCUGGGAAGUACGGCCGCAAGGCUAAAACUCAAAGGAAUAGACGGGGAUCCGCACAAGCGGUGGAGCGUCUGGUUUAAUUCGACAGUAAGCGUGGUACCUCACCAGGGUUUGACAUCCCUUGACAGCCUUGGAAACAAGGUUUCCUUCGGGCAAGGUGACAGGUGCUGCAUGGUCGUCGUCAGUUCGUGCCGUGAGGUGUUCCGUUAAGUCGGGAAACGAACGAAACCCCUAUUGCAUGUUACAACUUCUCAUGCAAGACUGCUCGGAUAUACUGGGAGGAAGGUGGGGAUGACGUCAGAUCUGCAUGGUCCUUAUACCCUGGGCGACACAGGCGCUACAGUGGCAGAGACAAAGGGUUGCAAAACCGCAAGGUGAAGCUAAUCCCAAAAACUUUGUCUAAGUUCGGAUUGAAGGCUGCAAUUCGCCUUCAUGAAGCUGGAAUCGCUAGUAAUCGUGAAUCAGCCACGUCACGGUGAAUAUGUUCCCGGAUCUUGUACUCACCGCCCGUCACACCAAGAGAGUUGGUAGCUCCCNGAAGCGUCCCGUUUUAGCGGGGC
rnacentral:rRNA from 1 species